AUUGAACGCUGGCGGCAGGCCUAACACAUGCAAGUCGAACGAGUGGCGGACGGGUGAGUAAUGUCUGGGAAACUGCCCGAUGGAGGGGGAUAACUACUGGAAACGGUAGCUAAUACCGCAUACCAUCGGAUGUGCCCAGAUGGGAUUAGCUUGUAGGUGAGGGAACGGCUCACCUAGGCGACGAUCCCUAGCUGGUCUGAGAGGAUGACCAGCCACACUGGAACUGGGAAACGGUCCAGAAUCCUACGGGAGGCAGGAGGGGGGAAUAUUGCACAAUGGGCGGAAGCCUGGUGCAACCAUGCCGCGUGUAUGAAGGAGGCCUUCGGGUUGUAAAGGACUUUCAACGGGGAGGCGUUACCCGCAGAAAAAGCACCGGCUAACUUCGUGCCAGCAGCCGCGGUAAUAC
rnacentral:rRNA from 1 species